AUAAUCGCAUUGAAGGCAUAUGUCGCAAGUGAGGUAAUCUUCAAACAACCCAUGUAAUAUAUAAAGGAAAGAGAUACAUAGUUGGCUUACAAUCGCCACUUCACACAAUUACAUGAAUAAAGCAUUACCUCAACCAAAUACAAACAGGGUCCGACUACGGAACCAAAAUAAAAGAAGAACCCCAAAUGCGACAAAGGUCCCCGAUCGACCCCAACUGGGCUCCACUACUGAUCAACUAGCACGGAAACAACACAAAGGACAAGAUAUUUAACGAGCUCCUCCUGAGCUUGGUUGCGUCAUCUGCACGGACUCAUCGGCACCUGCAAGCUGGUUUUGGAAGUAUAUGUGAGCCACGGGGACUCAGCAAUCUCGCACCCUCGCGAUCAGGACUAUUUAGGCUUAUAGGAAGGAUGGAGUAAUGAGGUGGAGCUGCAGCAAGCGACUAGCGUAUAUGGUGGCUACAUUCGCAAAAGAGAGUGAGAAGAGAAGCAAGGUACGGUCGUGAAGCUAGUAGCGAUCAAGAAGUGAUCCUGAAACUACUUACGUCAAACAUAACUCCAACACCGUGUUCACUUCCCGGACUCCGCCGAGAAGAGACCAUGACGGUUACGCACGCGGUUAAUGUAUUUUAAAUAAGGUCAACUUCGGGUUUUCUACAACCGGAUGUUAACAAAUUCCCAUCUGCCCAUAACCGCGGGCACGGCUUUCGAAAGUUCAAAUCCCUGCAGGGGUGUCCCAACUUAGCCCAUCACAAGCUCUCACGGUCAACGAAGGAAUAGACCUCCACCCGAGACGUUCCGAUCAGACUCGGUAUCCCGGUACAACAAGACAUUUCGACAGGGUAAAACUAAACCAGCAACACCGCCCGAAUGUGCCGACAAAUCCCGAUAGGAGCUGCACAUAUCUCUUUCUCAGGGCACACUCAGAUGAGACAUCCUACGAGUAAAACCAACCCUCAAGUUGCCCCGAGGUGGCCCCGCAGAAUACUCGGUCGGACCAACACUCAGAGGAGCACUGGCCCAGGGGGGGUUAAAAUAAAGAUGACCCUUGAGUCUGCAGAACCCAUGGGAAAGAAAAGGCUAGGUGGCGAAUGGUAAAACCAAUGUUGGGCAUUGCUGGAAGAGCUUUACUUAAGGCGAACUGUCAAGGGGUUCCCAUUAUAGCCCAACCGCGUAAGGGACGCAAAAUCCAGGAACAUAACACCGAUAUGACGGAAACUAGGGCGGCAAGAGUGGAACAAAACACCAGGCAUAAGGCCGAGCCUUCCACCCUUUACCAAAUAUAUAGAUGCAUUAAUUAAAUAAGAUAUAUUGUGAUAUCCCAACAAGUAAACAUGUUCCACCAAGGAACAAUAUCUCCAUGUUCCAACAAGGAACAAACUUCAAUCUUCACCUGCAACUAACAACGCUAUAAGAGGGGCUGAGCAAAGCGGUAACAUAGCCAAUCAACGGUUUGCUAGGACAUGGUGGGUUAGAGGUUUGACAUGGCAAUUUGGGAGGCUGACAAGCAAAUGGUAGGCAUCGUAGCAUUGGCAUAGCAAAAGAGCGAGCAUCUAGCAAAGCAAAGAUAGUAGUGAUUUCGAGGGUAUUAUCAUCUUGCCUGAAAUCCCGCAAGGAAGAGGAACGAGUCCAUGAAGAAGACAAAUGGACGUAGUCGAACGAAUCCUCACAACUCCAGAACGAAACCGAAGCUAACAAGAGAAGCAAACCGGAAAGAAGCAAACAACCAUGGUAAACACACAAGCAUAGUCAAGGCAUGAUGCACAAUCAAGUAUGAUGCAUUUCCGGUUUAAUGAGGCAUGGCAUGGCAAUUUGCACAAACAAUCCUACAAAUUAAGUGGAGGUCAAUAUGCAACUCCGUUGCAUAUCGACGAAACGCCACAUCAAUUAUUUAGUUCUCUCCCGGUUAUGUACUCAACAAUAUUAAAUGUUGAUAAGCAUGGCAAGAGGGUGAAGCAAAUAAAACUACCUAUCUAGUCAAGUUUAAAUGAGGCCGGAAACAACAAACAACAAUUCCGGAAAAUCCCCAUGUCAUUUAGUAAUUUAAUGCAACAACAAUUUUUUUAAGCAUUUAAAUAUUGUUAACAUGAUGCGGAUGACAUAUACAAGUUUAUGCUUUUUUUUGGAAAUGUUGACAUGAGCAUGUUAUGAAGCAUUAGUCGCCAUGGCGGAAUGAAAAGGGUGCCACGGCGGCGAAACAGAAAUGGUGCCACGGCAACAUAUCCGAAAAUGAUGCCACGGCAACAUAUCGGUUCCGGUAGCUCAUGGAGAUACCGGUGCAAAGGAAGUGGGCGUGAGCGUGUCGUGCAAGGAUGGUGGGGUGCCCCCGGAUUCCGGGUUCCCAUGGGAUGGCAGCAUGGAAAACGAGUGACAAUUCGGACACGGUGCAAACAUACGGUUCAUCUCAUACAUGCAAGGGCAUCUCAUCGCGGUCGUCUCGGGUUAUACCUUUGAAGCAAGCGUUUUCGCGGCGGAUCGAGUUCGGUACGAUGCAGAGGAAGUAGACGUUCUCGGGUCGUCGUGGGAAGUAGUUGUUCACGGCGACGGUAGAGGUACAUAUCGUAGUGGAAGUAGUUGUUCAUGUCCCAUGGAUGUUCGGGGCCCACGGGGUCUUCGAGGGUCGAUGGUAGUGGUUCACGGACAUCGUGGAAGUAGUCGUACACGGGUCUUCGAGCGACGGUAGAUGGUACACGUUUUUUGUAGAUGUACAUGUCGGCGGUAGUUGUACUUGGCGAAAAUCUGAAGAUGGCCUUGGCGGAUGCAAGCAGCAGCACAGGGCUGGCCGAGGCAACGCGGGUUCGCGCGUGGCCUACGGUGGAGGUCAACUCCGACGGGGACGGGCAAGGCGGCGGAGGCCACCCGGAUCUGGAUGGGGUUAGAGGAAGACUGUGCUCCCAGGGGCGGCGAGGAGGCCGACGGUGCCAUGGUCGUGCGGCCCAGGCGAGCUCGGCGGCCUGGACUGGCUGGACGAAGCGGCGGCGUUGAGGAGGCUGACGGGGCUCCGGCUUGGCCCGCUCCUCUGGUGAGGGCGGAGCGCAGGGUCGGGCACUGGAGGUCGGAUACUGGCGCGCGGAGGGAGAAGGAAGGGCGAGGUGGAGGCGCACCGGAGAGGAAGGGGAAGAUCGAGGAGAGGGGAUCGGGCGCUGGGUGGCUCGAUGCGAUGGGUGCGGGAGCGAGGGGAUCGGGCGAUGCAGGGGUGUGCGGCGCACAGGGAGAGAUGGGGUGCGAUCGGGUCGAGGGGAACUGCGGCUAGGGUUAGAGGGGCACCGGCUGGGCUGCGGAUGGGCCUAAGAGGCCGGCUAGGGUUGCAGGCUGCUGGGCUCUCUCUCUCUCUCCCUCAUAUACUCUUUACAUUAACAAAGAACUAGAAGAAAGGAUAGGAGAGAUGAGAAGGUUAGAGGAAGAAUUUGGGCAUGCGGUUAAUUUUCUCGGACUCGCAAAAAUGAGCUUGAACCAAGAAAACUAGAAAGAGGCAUGAUUGAAAGAUGUAAAUUCAAACUCAUUUGAAUUUAAUUCAAAUGGGUUUGAACUAGGACUUGAUAAAAGGAAGGUCCAAAAAUGUUCGGAUUUUUGGUGGGGCUCCGAAAAAUGAUGAAAUAAUUUAUGGGCAAGGUUUGGAGGUCAACUCGGGGCAGAAAAAGGCAUGGGAUUUAUUUUGCACGUGGGUUAUGGUGAUUUCCAAAACAAUGGAAUAUUUAAUAUAGCUCCCUAAUAUUGGAGGAUAUGUUAUAAAGAGAAGUCACCCUUCCCUCGAUUUAAAUGGAUCGAAGAUCAAUACAAUUUAUUUAGAAGAGUCAUAAAAAUUAAAUGGCAUGAUGGCAUGAUGCAAUGCAAGAGAUGACAUGAAGAAAUGCAACAAACAAAAAUAAAACACACGACGAAACUCGGAAUAGCUGGGAGUCUUCUGGAGCGUCGGUCUCGGGGCGUUACAACACUCCACCACUACAAGAGGAUCUCGUCCCGAGAUCUAGAAUGGCACCGGAGGGAAAACGGAAGAGAAAAAGAAAAGGUAAAACUAAGUUGCUUCUUUUGACAAACGAGUGAAACCACGGACCUUGAGAGGUUGAACAAAUUGAAAGAAAUGAAACAACGGAGAAGAACAAAGUUCGCAACACUCCAUUAAGAAAGAGGAAAAGAAGGAACCGAUUCGGGUAGCACUCCGGUUGAGAAGGGAUGCAAGACUUGAUAAGAUGAAAAGAACGUGAAAAGAGGAUGCACCACUCCAGAAAACAGGAAUUGAAUAAACUCGAUGAAACAAGAAUAAGAAUUACAUUAUGUUUAUCCUUCACCAAUUAAAUUGAUGACAAACAAUGGAUUCGACACACUACUUAUUCUCGUUGAAAGGAUUAAGAUAGAUAUUGCGCAAACUUGAGAAAGUCUUCAACGAUCCACCGGUAGAAUUAAGAAAGCACGAAUGCAUAGAUAUGAUACACGAAGGAAGAAAACUCUUGAACGAACCACCGUAAGAAUUAAAAUAAAUGAAGUAAAGGGAUGAAUCACCGGUUAGAAUUAGCAAAUACACGAAGAUGCUUGAGAGGAUUUAGACCCAUGAGAACGAAGAGAUCACGAGCUGAUUAAAGAUCACUUGCACGAAGCACCGGUAAAAUUGAAGAACGUGAGCUGAAAGCUGGACUGAAUCAAUCUUAGAUGAUGGGCUCCGGAUAAUCCGACAGAAAAUACUCUGAAUUACUCCGGAUGAGUGAAAAGAAUUCUGACAAUCGAAAACAACUAUGAGAGGAUGGCAUAACGCUAGAACCAUGAACCUUGAAGAGAAAGGAGCAAGAUUGAGAGAAAAAAAAUCUUCUUCAGUCUUCAAAUGCUGGGAAUGACGAUGAGAAACACCACCAAAUUGUUGAGAUCUCCGGGAUUAAAAUUGGAAAGGUUGAACCAACGAUGAAAGAAUUUGAAAGAUCAAGGAGAAAGGCAUUGGACUGAUGAUAACUCAAUCUUACGUCAAACUUGGAAAAGAAUUUGAGAGUAACGCCGGGAAAAUAAGAAGAGUCAGGUAAGAUCCUGGAAAAAGACCUGUGGGUUAGGGCCCACUCAAAAGAAACAGCGUUGAACAAUUUGAAGAGAGAUAAUGCACCGGUUGAAAUAAAAGACUUGAAUGAGAGAACAUCCUCGAAAGAUCUUGAACGAAUGCAUAGUGGAAACACGAAUCUUCGAGAUAUCUUGAGCAUUCCAGAAUAAUUGAAUAGCGAGAAGUGGAAGAUUAAGAGGUGCACCGGCAUAAAUAGGCAUUGGGCAAAAAGAAAAGGAGUAUGCUCAAUACCAAAGCUUGAAUUAAUUCCACCGGAGAAGAAAAUGAGUGAAGAGUGACGAACUUGAAGCUUCGUUAGAAUCUUCAUGAGAAUCACCAGAUACGAACAUUGAAAGAAAAGAAUGGAGAGACUUCACAUAAAUAAGAUGGAUACUUGAUUAAGAAAUCUUAUUCCUCGAAGAAAGAGGGUGGGAGGGCGGGAAAAACAAAGGCAACUUGGAGACGGAUGAAACAAACACCAUUGAGAAGAAGUGAUAAUUGAUCUUGCGGAAGUUGAAAUGAUCGAAUCCACUUGAAGAAGCACGCCGGUUGGAAAGAAUUGACAUGACAAACUCGAUGAUCAAGAAGGAUUAGUAUUCACAUAGCAAUAUGAGAACACCAUUUAGGAAAGGUAUGGAUUCAACAUUUGACUUCGAAGCAACUCGAAUACCACAAAUAAAACGAAACAAAGGAUUUGGCUUGCAGAAUAAGCCGGAACAAACAUAUGAUAGAGAUUCCGUCCGAAGUUUUCGUGGUGGGGCCUACACGGGCUCGAUCAUACAGCACCAUCAUGUACAAGGCAGUGCACAUGACAUAUGAAGCGUCCCCGAGUCGGCAUAGCCAAGGACUCUUUAAGACACAACGAGACUACUGUAAAACCAACCGUGAAUAGGCGGACCACUAGACGUCGAACCCCAAUUUCGUAUCAUACAUCUGUCGGAAAGAAAUCCUAGGAGCUACUUGAAUUCCCACCUAUGAAACUCCCGAAAUUUUCCGGUUAUGCAAUCGGGUGUUGGGGAUACAGGGGAAGCAUAAUAUCUCAUCCAAACUAGCAAAUCCUACAUCCAGCUGUAUCCAUCCUUCAACACAUAACCAAGAAACCUUCGGAAAUCGUCUACCUCAACCUUCGAAAAGCAUCUGUUAUACAAGUUAUGGCAAUACUCCCGAACUCCCGCCCCAGUACUGGGUGGCGUCGAGGUUAUCUCACCAACGAACUGCAUAAAAGAGAAUUUCGAUGUCGGCGUACUAAACUCAGGUAUUCUAGAACUGCAACGAUAAAAUUAUGAUGACAACACCUCAGAGCUCAACUCCCCGGGACACUUCCACAAAACCCCUGACAGGAGGCACCAAGACAAUGAUCUCAUCAUAAAACCAUCGGAACGAUUCCAAGAUACCCGCGUGAUCCUAAAUUUUUUUUUGUGAAAUUUGAGAAGAGAAGAGUCAAAACUCUACGUCAGGAUGCCUUACCAGAGCGAUGAGGAGACUGGGAAGUAAAAAGAUUUCCUAAACUCUCCGAUAUAUAAUUCCUAAAUGACUCAAAAUAUUUUUCUAGACACAACUCGGCUGCUAAAAACGAUCAAGCAAUGGGGCUCCUAAGGUAGGGGAAGGCUCUGAUACCAACUUGUAACACCCUCGAUGCGACUAUAUCUCCCACGUGUCGAGGCACGACUUAGAGGCAUAAUCGCAUUGAAGGCAUAUGUCGCAAGUGAGGUAAUCUUCAAACAACCCAUAUAAUAUAUAAAGGAAAGAGAUACAUAGUUGGCCUACAAUCGCCACUUCACACAAUUACAUGAAUAAAGCAUUACCUCAACCAAAUGCAAACAGGGUCUGACUACGGAACCAAAAUAAAAGAAGAACCCCAAAUGCGACAAAGGUCCCCGAUCGACCCCAACUGGGCUCCACUACUGAUCAACUAGCACGGAAACAAC
rnacentral:lncRNA from 1 species